rnacentral:rRNA from 1 species
UGCGUUAACGAACGAGACCUUAACCUGCUAAAUAGCCCGUAUUGCUUUGGCAGUACGCUGACUUCUUAGAGGGACUAUCGGUGUGUAGCCGACGGAAGUUCGAGGCAAUAACAGGUCUGUGAUGCCCUUAGAUGUUCUGGGCUGCACGCGCGCUACACUGAUGAUUGCAUCGAGCUUACAACCUUGACUGAGAGGUCUGGGUAAUCUUUUUAACGAUCAUCGUGCUGGGGAUAGAUUAUUGUAAUUAUUAAUCUUCAACGAGGAAUUCCUAGUAAACGCAAGUCAUCAACUUGCAUUGAUUACGUCCCUGCCCUUUGUACACACCGCCCGUCGCUAAUACCGAUUGAAUGGAUA